rnacentral:rRNA from 1 species
AUUGAACGCUGGCGGCAGGCCUAACACAUGCAAGUCGAACGGUAACAGGAAGAAGCUUGCUUCUUUGCUGACGAGUGGCGGACGGGUGAGUAAUGUCUGGGAAACUGCCUGAUGGAGGGGGAUAACUACUGGAAACGGUAGCUAAUACCGCAUAAUGUCGCAAGACCAAAGAGGGGGACCUUCGGGCCUCUUGCCAUCGGAUGUGCCCAGAUGGGAUUAGCUAGUAGGUGGGGUAACGGCUCACCUAGGCGACGAUCCCUAGCUGGUCUGAGAGGAUGACCAGCCACACUGGAACUGAGACACGGUCCAGACUCCUACGGGAGGCAGCAGUGGGGAAUAUUGCACAAUGGGCGCAAGCCUGAUGCGGCUAUGCCGCGUGUAUGAAGAAGGCCUUCGGGUUGUAAAGUACUUUCAGCGGGGAGGAAGGGAGUAAAGUUAAUACCUUUGCUCAUUGACGUUACCCGCAGAAGAAGCACCGGCUAACUCCGUG